CAUGCGCCGGUGGGGUCCCUCGGCCUGGCCUGUGUCCUCUCACAAUCCGGGACCCCUUGGGGGAUGUCAGAGAGCCGGUUUUGGCUCAAUCCCACAGGCCAGGCCGAAGGACCCCACUGGUGCACA
rnacentral:pre_miRNA from 1 species